UGCCUAAACAUAUUGCCAGCUCUCAAUUUUUCAGCUACCAAUAUAAAUUAAAAAGAAAAGAAAAAGGGGCGACGUUGUCACUCAAUAAUUGCAUAUCAUCAAUGAAGUUAAAAUGUAUAACAAAAUAUUUAAAGAGUUGCAAUAAAAAAAGGAAAUUAUAUACCCGAAGUCGUUGUGGAAAGCAAAUUGCAUAUAUUUUAUUUCCUAAAAAAAAAUACAUAUAUUUUAGAAGCAUAGCUGAAGUCAUGAGGACCCCUAUUGCUGCACAGUAGUCAAAAUCAAACUUGAUUGACAGAGUUAUUUGGAGAGUUUGAACCAAG
rnacentral:misc_RNA from 1 species